rnacentral:rRNA from 1 species
CCUACGGGAGACAGCAGUGAGGAAUAUUGGUCAAUGGACGUGAGUCUGAACCAGCCAAGUAGCGUGAAGGAUGACUGCCCUAUGGGUUGUAAACUUCUUUUAUAUGGGAAUAAAAUGUUCCACGUGUGGGAUUUUGUAUGUACCAUAUGAAUAAGGAUCGGCUAACUCCGUGCCAGCAGCCGCGGUAAUACGGAGGAUCCGAGCGUUAUCCGGAUUUAUUGGGUUUAAAGGGUGCGUAGGUGGAUUGUUAAGUCAGUUGUGAAAGUUUGCGGCUCAACCGUAAAAUUGCAGUUGAAACUGGCAGUCUUGAGUACAGUAGAGGUGGGCGGAAUUCGUGGUGUAGCGGUGAAAUGCUUAGAUAUCACGAAGAACUCCGAUUGCGAAGGCAGCUUACUGGACUGCAACUGACACUGAGGCUCGAAAGUGUGGGUAUCAAACAGGAUUAGAUACCCUAGUAGUC